ensembl:snoRNA SNORA70 Small nucleolar RNA SNORA70
AUCCAAUUAAAAAAUGGGCACAUGCAAUGGCUGCAAACAGCAGCAUCCUUGGUAGUGUACGCAACCUGUUGCUAGUAUGGAUUGCCUUAAGGGACCUUGGAUACAGCC